UUUCCGUAGGUGAACCUGCGGAAGGAUCAUUAUUGAAUGAAACACUUCUGGCUUUAUGCUGUUGUGCUGGCCCUUUGGGCAAUGUGCACACGGCUCUGGUCACUUGUUUCUUCUGUUCCACCUGUGCACUGCCUGUAGACACGCUGUGUCUAUGAUAUUUGUUAACACACAACAAUGUUAGUUGGCAUGUUAUAUAUAAUAAUAAAAUAUACAACUUUCAACAACGGAUCUCUUGGCUCUCGCAUCGAUGAAGACGCAGC
rnacentral:misc_RNA from 1 species